CACAGCGCCUCUUUCAUGAUGGGAUCAGGCUGUGAAGCCCUCCUGAGCUCUCUGUGCAAGGAAUGUCGAGGAUGUUUUCAGUCUGGAGGUCUUCUUGGCCUGGAGGGCAAUGAGGGUUAAGUGACUUGCCCAGGGUCACACAGUCUGCGUGGGUGUCCCCUAAAACUCACUUGGCCAUCAUUCCAAGCAACAUGACGGAGGAGCAGCGCUCCAGGGCAGAGCAGGAAACCUUCUCAGUAACACGCUCCCACAGCAGCUGGGUUACUGCCGGC